rnacentral:rRNA from 1 species
GCUUAACGCGAAGAACCUUACCGCCCCUUGACAUCCCUGGAACCCUUUAGAGAUAGAGGGGUGCCUUCGGGAGCCAGGAGACAGGUGCUGCAUGGCUGUCGUCAGCUCGUGUCGUGAGAUGUUGGGUUAAGUCCCGUAACGAGCGCAACCCUCGCCCUUAGUUGCCAUCAUUCAGUUGGGCACUCUAAGGGGACUGCCGGUGAUAAGCCGAGAGGAAGGUGGGGAUGACGUCAAGUCCUCAUGGCCCUUACGGGCUGGGCUACACACGUGCUACAAUGGUGGUGACAGUGGGCAGCGAGACCGCGAGGUCGAGCUAAUCUCCAAAAGCCAUCUCAGUUCGGAUUGCACUCUGCAACUCGAGUGCAUGAAGUUGGAAUCGCUAGUAAUCGCGGAUCAGCAUGCCGCGGUGAAUACGUU